rnacentral:rRNA from 2 species
AGUGAAGCGGGAUGAGCUCAAAUUUAAAAUCUGGCUGGUUUACUAGUCCGAAUUGUAGUUUAAAGAAGCGUUUUCGGUGGCAACCUGGGUAUAAAUCCUUUGGAAUAGGGUAUCAUAGAGGGUGAGAAUCCCGUCUUUGACUCAGUGCAUGCUACUAUGUGAUACGUUUUCAAAGAGUCGAGUUGUUUGGGAAUGCAGCUCAAAAUGGGUGGUAAAUUUCAUCUAAAGCUAAAUAUUGGCGAGAGACCGAUAGCGAACAAGUACCGUGAGGGAAAGAUGAAAAGAACUUUGAAAAGAGAGUUAAACAGUGCGUGAAAUUGUUGAAAGGGAAACGUUUGACACCAGUCAUGUGGGUGGAAAAUCAGUCUUUUGGGGUGGGGAGAGGUAGGGGUUCAGACCGCAAGGCUGACUUUUGUCUCAUCUUUGCUCUAAAGGAUGCACUUUUUCAUUUGCAGGUCAACAUCAGUUUCUUCUGCUGGACAAAACUCUGAGAGAAUGUAGCAGCUCAGGCUGUGUUAUAGCUCUGGAGCGAUACAGUGGGGGGGACUGAGGUUUUCGCAGUGUGUGCCUUCGGGCAAGGUUAACUGGGUGCUAUGUGAUAGCACGGUGUACAAUGCAUGCAUUUUGCGCUGUGUCUGUUGCAUACUCGCCUGAAUUGACUCUUUCACGCUAAGGAUGUUGACUUAAUGGUUUUAAACGACCCGUCUUGAAACACGGACCAAGGAGUCUAACAUAUAUGCAAGUGUUUGGGUGGCAAACCCAUACGCGUAAUGAAAGUGAACGUAGGUGCGAUCCGCAAGGUGCAGCAUCGACCGAUCUUGAUAUUUUUGGAUAGAUUUGAGUAAGAGCAUAUAUGCUGGGACCCGAAAGAUGGUGAACUAUGCCUGAAUAGGGUGAAGCCAGAGGAAACUCUGGUGGAGGCUCGUAGCGAUUCUGACGUGCAAAUCGAUCGUCAAAUUUGGGUAUAGGGGCGAAAGACUAAUCGA